AGCUUUGUGCAGUGGCAGUAUUUUAGCCAAUGAGGUUUAUCUAAGACAUGAUUAUUACUAAUUGAAAACUUAAAAAAAAAAAAGACAGCAAGCUGACACUUCAGGCUGGCUCAGUGAGAUGAUGCAACAAGGGAUG
rnacentral:snRNA from 1 species